rnacentral:rRNA from 1 species
UACGGGGGGGGCAAGCGUUGUUCGGAAUUACUGGGCGUAAAGGGCUCGUAGGCGGCCAACUAAGUCAUACGUGAAAUCCCUCGGCUUAACCGGGGAACUGCGUCUGAUACUGGUUGGCUUGAGUGCAGGAGAGGAACGCGGAAUUCCAGGUGUAGCGGUGAAAUGCGUAGAUAUCUGGAGGAACACCGGUGGCGAAGGCGGCGUUCUGGACUGCAACUGACGCUGAGGCGCGAAAGCGUGGGGAGCAAACAGG